CAGGAUCCACGAAGAGAAGGCAAAAGAUUUUAAUGGGUUUGGUUAUUUCAAAAAAAGAUGACAUGUUUAACAUGGCAAAAAAUGAAUUUCUUAAAAAAUUCAAUAACCUUAAGCUGUAUGUAAAAGAUGCUCUUGAAACUGGACUAAAGAGAUCAAUUAAACUUGCACUGUCACGAACCAACAAUAUCGCACUGUUGGAUGUUUCCAGAGAGAUUGAGGAACUUGAGAGACUGACAGAGCAACUUUCUGACUAGGAUCAUCAAGCAAUUAUUGUGAAAUGGGAAAGUC